CGGUUCGGUUGUUUUCCGAGCAGCGUAAUCAAGCGAAAACCUUGCAGAUUUUAUUUCAAGCACACACUAUCUACUUACGAUUUAUCAUGCUUGAACACGAGCAAAAAUUCCUCCAGUGAUAAAUUAAUACACAAAAAAUGUAGAAUUGAAUUUAAGUACGACGACGACGACGACGACGAACGUUUAAUUCGAUCAAAUUUUUUCCUACAACUGAAAGAGCCAAGCAAAAAGCGGAAAUCAUUGUAAAAUCUUUUUAACACAACAAAUGAUCCGAUUGGACUAACGCAUUAAUUGAUAGGGAGAGUCUCCAUUAGGUAUAUUGUCUGAUACUAAUAAAAAUAAUUACGAUUUGAUGGCAUUGGCGUUGGUUGGCAUUCAAAUAAUUUCAGUUGUGUUGUACAGGCUAAUGAGUGAUUGUUGCUUUUAAAAUAUUAUUUUACAAACUCGUAAUAAACAAAAUGAUCGCUUUUUGA